rnacentral:rRNA from 1 species
UACGGGGGGGGUAAGCGUUGUUCGGAAUUACUGGGCGUAAAGGGCUCGUAGGCGGCCAACUAAGUCAUACGUGAAAUCCCUCAGCUUAACUGGGGAACUGCGUGUGAUACUGGAUGGCUUGAAUUCGGGAGAGGGAUGCAGAAUUCCAGGUGUAGCGGUGAAAUGCGUAGAUAUCUGGAGGAACAUCGGUGGCGAAGGCGGCAUCCUGGACCGGUAUUGACGCUGAGGCGCGAAAGCCAGGGGAGCAAACGGG